UCAGAAUACUGCAUCCUAAAUGACGAAAGUUCAAUAGCCGAAAGCAUCAUUAGUUUAGGUUCUAGCUGCUUUUUGAAGAAUGAGCCGAUAGGUGUCUAUUUGUAUAGAAAAUAGCUGCUGAUAGAUUCCAGUAGUCGAUAUGCUUUGUGUGCUGAGGCAAGCACUAGGCGUUCUCAUUACAUUUUACUUUACUGCUAUUAAUAAGCGAGAACCGAGAGGAGCUUCCGGUUCAAGUGAAUUUCCAAAAAAAAAACAUAGAAUUUUACUUUAUUCCAUUUUUGUCCAUGUUUUCUAUUAGCACCCCCAGCUUAUACAAAAGCCCAACACCUGUGAAUUUAUAUGGACAAUUGUGCUGUAUAAGAAGUCCUAAUCAUCUGCUCAUCUUCUCUCCAUCGUGGUCUCUACUUUUUUUGUGUCAUUUUUCGAUCUACUCGAUUGUCUCAGUUGCUUCUCUUGCCAGCUCAAGGAAAUGGUGAAAAGAUGGUUGUGGUAGAACUCACAUUUGAUGUAGAAGUCCAAAAAACAACUCACAUUUGAUGUAGAAGUCCAAAAAACAACUCACAUUUGAUGAAAAAUCUGCAGCAGUUGUUCUAUUCUGACCAUGACACACUACCAUCCAGGAUAGUUAUAGUUGAAUUACUGAAAAUUAUCGGCAAGAAAAACCUGAACCAAAAGUUUGUGCAGAUAGAGAGAAACCUGGACCAAAUGAUUCUGCCAAUAGAGAGCUCUAGAAUAGAAUUGACAUGUCGAUGCUGCUGUUUUUCCAGUGCGACUUCCCUUUAUUCUUGAUGAUGAUAGAAGGAUUUUUGUUGGACUUCAUACUGUUGAAGUUUUCCCAGUAUUUAACAAAAUGUAGGAGUUGUAUAAAAUAUUUUCUUUCCUGAAGUAAGUAUCAAUCUGAUGAGAAUAUUUGAGCUGUAAUACAAUUUUUUAUUUUCUAUUACA